UGGGGACCUGUCCUCUGGACUGCUAGCAGUAGUUAAAGUGCUGUCUGUGGUGGUCUCUGUAGGUCUGAGUUCUUCUUUCUUCCAUGCUUCUGUUGCCUCCUUGCACUGGACCUGUAAUGUUGCUCUUCUCUUUCGGUGUUUAUUACUGAUUUUGCAGUGUGUAAAAUGAGGUUUACAGUAAAAUUUACCUUCUUCAACAUCAAAGGCAUAAAUUCCUAAACGGAGAGUUGUAGAACAUAUUUCACACUUGAAGCACUCCCUGUGAAAGAAGUGGCCUUCUGCACUCAGCCGCUCCAUAACAUACACCCGUUUUUUGCAGAAAUAACAGAUGUCACUCCCCCCAAUAGACUGAGGAAAUUCUUUUCGCAGAGAUCCCUGUUAAAAGAUAAAAAUAGAAACACAUAUGAAGCCUUUACAGGUCACCUAGAUAUAAAUUCUUAUUGAAGUAAGCGGUUGCUUUAACUGCUUGAAGUUUUACACAGCC
rnacentral:lncRNA from 1 species